AACGAACGCUGGCGGCAGGCCUAACACAUGCAAGUCGAGCGAGGACUUCGGUUCUAGCGGCGGACGGGUGAGUAACGCGUGGGAAUGUGCCCUUCUCUACGGAAUAGCCCUGGGAAACUGGGAGUAAUACCGUAUACGCCCUAUUGGGGAAAGAUUUAUCGGAGAAGGAUCAGCCCGCGUUGGAUUAGGUAGUUGGUGGGGUAAUGGCCUACCAAGCCGACGAUCCAUAGCUGGUUUGAGAGGAUGAUCAGCCACACUGGGACUGAGACACGGCCCAGACUCCUACGGGAGGCAGCAGUGGGGAAUCUUAGACAAUGGGGGCAACCCUGAUCUAGCCAUGCCGCGUGAGUGAUGAAGGCCUUAGGGUUGUAAAGCUCUUCCAGCUGGGAAGAUAAUGACGGUACCAGCAGAAGAAGCCCCGGCUAACUCCGUG
rnacentral:rRNA from 1 species